rnacentral:rRNA from 1 species
UGCGAUAAGCGCCGGUAAGGUGAUAUGAACCGUUAUAACCGGCGAUUUCCGAAUGGGGAAACCCAGUGUGAUUCGUCACACUAUCAUUAACUGAAUCCAUAGGUUAAUGAGGCGAACCGGGGGAACUGAAACAUCUAAGUACCCCGAGGAAAAGAAAUCAACCGAGAUUCCCCCAGUAGCGGCGAGCGAACGGGGAGGAGCCCAGAGCCUGAAUCAGCAUGUGUGUUAGUGGAAGCGUCUGGAAAGGCGCGCGAUACAGGGUGACAGCCCCGUACACAAAAGCGCAUGUGCUGUGAGCUCGAUGAGUAGGGCGGGACACGUGGUAUCCUGUCUGAAUAUGGGGGGACCAUCCUCCAAGGCUAAAUACUCCUGACUGACCGAUAGUGAACCAGUACCGUGAGGGAAAGGCGAAAAGAACCCCGGCGAGGGGAGUGAAAAAGAACCUGAAACCGUGUACGUACAAGCAGUGGGAGCCCCACCACCAAAGCAUUCUCUGGUGUUGAAGGCCCUGCAAAGCAGCAUCGCGGUGGCGGAGCGUCGUUUGCGACGCCCAACACACAAAACAAGCGGUGAGUGCUUUGGGGUGGGGUGACUGCGUACCUUUUGUAUAAUGGGUCAGCGACUUAUAUUCUGUAGCAAGGUUAACCGAAUAGGGGAGCCGGAGGGAAACCGAGUCUUAAUUGGGCGUUAAGUUGCAGGGUAUAGACCCGAAACCCGGUGAUCUAGCCAUGGGCAGGUUGAAGGUUGGGUAACACUAACUGGAGGACCGAACCGACUAAUGUUGAAAAAUUAGCGGAUGACCUGUGGCUGGGGGUGAAAGGCCAAUCAAACCGGGAGAUAGCUGGUUCUCCCCGAAAGCUAUUUAGGUAGCGCCUCGUGAAUUCAUCUCCGGGGGUAGAGCACUGUUUCGGCUAGGGGGCCAUCCCGGCUUACCAACCCGAUGCAAACUGCGAAUACCGGAGAAUGUUAUCACGGGAGACACACGGCGGGUGCUAACGUCCGUCGUGAAGAGGGAAACAACCCAGACCGCCAGCUAAGGUCCCAAAGUCAUGGUUAAGUGGGAAACGAUGUGGGAAGGCCCAGACAGCCAGGAUGUUGGCUUAGAAGCAGCCAUCAUUUAAAGAAAGCGUAAUAGCUCACUGGUCGAGUCGGCCUGCGCGGAAGAUGUAACGGGGCUAAACCAUGCACCGAAGCUGCGGCAGCGACACUGUGUGUUGUUGGGUAGGGGAGCGUUCUGUAAGCCUGUGAAGGUGGCCUGUGAGGGUUGCUGGAGGUAUCAGAAGUGCGAAUGCUGACAUAAGUAACGAUAAAGCGGGUGAAAAGCCCGCUCGCCGGAAGACCAAGGGUUCCUGUCCAACGUUAAUCGGGGCAGGGUGAGUCGACCCCUAAGGCGAGGCCGAAAGGCGUAGUCGAUG